rnacentral:rRNA from 1 species
UACAGAGGGUGCAAGCGUUAUCCGGAUUCACUGGGUUUAAAGGGUGCGUAGGCGGGUUGGUAAGUCAGUGGUGAAAUCUUCAAGCUUAACUUGGAAACUGCCGUUGAUACUAUCAAUCUUGAAUAUUGUGGAGGUAAGCGGAAUAUGUCAUGUAGCGGUGAAAUGCUUAGAUAUGACAUAGAACACCGAUAGCGAAGGCAGCUUGCUACACAAUAAUUGACGAUGAGGCACGAAAGCGUGGGGAUCAAACAGG